rnacentral:rRNA from 1 species
UACGGAGGGGGCAAGCGUUGUUCGGAGUCACUGGGCGUAAAGGGCGCGUAGGCGGUGCAUCAAGUCAGGCGUGAAAGCCCCGGGCUUAACCUGGGAAUUGCGCUUGAUACUGAUGCGCUAGAGAGCGGGAGAGGAUGGCGGAAUUCCCAGUGUAGAGGUGAAAUGCGCAGAUAUCGGGAGGAACACCGGUGGCGAAGGCGGUUCUCUGGGCCUGUUCUGACGCUGAGGAGCGAAAGCGUGGGGAGCAAACAGG